rnacentral:rRNA from 1 species
GAUGAACGCUAGCGGCAGGCUUAACACAUGCAAGUCGAGGGGUAACGAUUAGUGCUUGCACUAAGGCGACGACCGGCGCACGGGUGCGUAACGCGUAUAGAACCUACCUUUUACAGGGGAAUAGCCCAGAGAAAUUUGGAUUAAUGCUCCAUGGUAUUAUUAGAUCGCAUGGUUUAAUAAUUAAACAUUUAUGGGUAAAAGAUGGCUAUGCGUCUUAUUAGUUAGUUGGUAAGGUAACGGCUUACCAAGACAUCGAUAAGUAGGGGUCCUGAGAGGGAGAUCCCCCACACUGGUACUGAGACACGGACCAGACUCCUACGGGAGGCAGCAGUGAGGAAUAUUGGACAAUGGAGGCAACUCUGAUCCAGCCAUGCCGCGUGUAGGAAGACUGCCCUAUGGGUUGUAAACUACUUUUAUAUGGGAAGAAACCGUGGUAUGUAUACCACCUUGACGGUACCAUAAGAAUAAGGAUCGGCUAACUCCG